rnacentral:rRNA from 1 species
UACGAAGGGGGCUAGCGUUGCUCGGAAUGACUGGGCGUAAAGGGCGCGUAGGCGGGACUGCAAGUCAGGUGUGAAAUCUGGUGGCUCAACCACCAAACUGCACUUGAAACUGUGGUUCUUGAGUGAUGGAGAGGCAGGCGGAAUUCCUAGUGUAGCGGUGAAAUGCGUAGAUAUUAGGAGGAACACCAGUGGCGAAGGCGGCCUGCUGGACAUUAACUGACGCUGAGGCGCGAAAGCGUGGGGAGCAAACAGG